rnacentral:rRNA from 1 species
GAUGAACGCUGGCGGCGUGCUUAACACAUGCAAGUCGAACGAUGAAGCCCAGCUUGCUGGGUGGAUUAGUGGCUAACGGGUGAGUAACACGUUAGUAACCUGCCCUUAACUCUGGGAUAAGCCUGGGAAACUGGGUCUAAUACCGGAUAGGAGCGUCCACCGCAUGGUGGGUGUUGGAAAGAUUUAUCGGUUUUGGAUGGACUCGCGGCAUAUCAGCUUGUUGGUGAGGUGAUGGCUCACCAAGGCGACGACGGGUAGCCGGCCUGAGAGGGUGACAGGCAACACUGAAACUGAGAAAAGGCCGAGACUCCUAAGGGAGGAAGAAGUGGGGAAUAAUGAACAGUGGACGCAAGACUAAUGCAGAGACACCGCGUGAAGGAUGACGGCCUUCGGGUUGUAAACCUCUUUCAGGAGGGAAGAAGAAAAAGUGAAGGAACCUGCAGAAGAAGAACCGGCUAACUACGUG